rnacentral:rRNA from 1 species
CCUACGGGUGGCAGCAGUGAGGAAUAUUGGUCAAUGGACGAGAGUCUGAACCAGCCAAGUAGCGUGAAGGAUGACUGCCCUAUGGGUUGUAAACUUCUUUUAUAUGGGAAUAAAACGUUCCACGUGUGGGAUUUUGUAUGUACCAUAUGAAUAAGGAUCGGCUAACUCCGUGCCAGCAGCCGCGGUAAUACGGAGGAUCCGAGCGUUAUCCGGAUUUAUUGGGUUUAAAGGGAGCGUAGGUGGAUUGUUAAGUCAGUUGUGAAAGUUUGCGGCUCAACCGUAAAAUUGCAGUUGAAACUGGCAGUCUUGAGUACAGUAGAGGUGGGCGGAAUUCGUGGUGUAGCGGUGAAAUGCUUAGAUAUCACGAAGAACUCCGAUUGCGAAGGCAGUUCACUGGACUGCAACUGACACUGAGGCUCGAAAGUGUGGGUAUCAAACAGGAUUAGAAACCCCUGUAGUC